ACUCCUACGGGAGGCAGCAGUGGGAAUAUUGCACAAUGGGGGAAACCCUGAUGCAGCCAUGCCGCGUGUGUGAAGAAGGCCUUCGGGUUGUAAAGCACUUUCAGCGAGGAGGAAAAGGGGUGUGUGCUAAAUACCAUACAUCUGUGACGUUACUCGCAGAAGAAGCACCGGCUAACUCCGUGCCAGCAGCCGCGGUAAUACGGAGGGUGCGAGCGUUAAUCGGAAUUACUGGGCGUAAAGCGUGCGCAGGCGGUUUGUUAAGCGAGAUGUGAAAGCCCCGGGCUCAACCUGGGAAUUGCAUUUCGACUGGCAAGCUAGAGUCUUGUAGAGGGGGGUAGAAUUGCAGGUGUAGCGGUGAAAUGCGUAGAGAUCUG
rnacentral:rRNA from 1 species